UACGUAGGCAGCGAGCGUUGUUCGGAUUUACUGGGCGUAAAGCGUGCGUAGGCGGUGGUGCAAGUCUGUUGUGAAAUCUCCCGGCUUAACCGGGAGGGUGCGGCGGAAACUGUGCUGCUGGAGUACGGGAGAGGCAGGCGGAAUUCCUGGUGUAGCGGUGAAAUGCGUAGAUAUCAGGAGGAACACCCGUGGUGUAGACGGCCUGCUGGACCGUAACUGACGCUGAGGCACGAAAGCGUGGGGAGCAAACAGG
rnacentral:rRNA from 1 species